UGGCGGCGUGCCUAAUACAUGCAAGUCGAGCGAACAGAUAAGGAGCUUGCUCCUUUGACGUUAGCGGCGGACGGGUGAGUAACACGUGGAUAACCUACCUAUAAGACUGGGAUAACUUCGGGAAACCGGAGCUAAUACCGGAUAAGAUUUUGAACCGCAUGGUUCAAUAGUGAAAGACGGCCUUGCUGUCACUUAUAGAUGGAUCCGCGCCGUAUUAGCUAGUUGGUAAGGUAACGGCUUACCAAGGCAACGAUACGUAGCCGACCUGAGAGGGUGAUCGGCCACACUGGAACUGAGACACGGUCCAGACUCCUACGGGAGGCAGCAGUAGGGAAUCUUCCGCAAUGGGCGAAAGCCUGACGGAGCAACGCCGCGUGAGUGAUGAAGGUCUUCGGAUCGUAAAACUCUGUUAUCAGGGAAGAACAAACGUGUAAGUAACUGUGCACGUCUUGACGGUACCUGAUCAGAAAGCCACGGCUAACUACGUGCCAGCAGCCGGGUAAAUAG
rnacentral:rRNA from 1 species